UAAUUUUUCACAAGGCUUUACUUAUAACUAGAGACAAGGUCUCUGCCCCCCAGAGAAAUUCCCAGGGAAGCUGCUAGGAGCAUGGGAGGCUAUUUUCGCUCCUAUCUAUGGAAGGCACGAAAGAGGGCACCAAAGGAUGGGGGCCAUUGAAUGGUUGAUCUAGAGGAAGAGAUGGGUCUUGUCCUAUCCCCACUGGAGUGAGUGUCCGCAUGCUGGCAAGGAGGCGUUUACAGCACACUGCAGGGAUCUCACUGCGGGAGAAGGAAGCCAGUGAAGAAAGGUUUGCCGAGCGUUGGCAGCAGCCACUGAAUGCGAUACGGCACGACGGGACUCGCCGUUUGGGGGAGAACAUGCAAGUCCAUCUGAGCCUGACGAAUCCUUGCUUUGGCAGCGGUUUUGCUUUGCAAGGAGAGGCACAGAAGCCACCAGCUGUGGCCAGAACAGGUGGGCGGACUGUAGAGACUACAGCUCCGUUGGCAAUCUAUUACACCACCACCUGCAUCCCUCCAGAUUUUGGAACUUCAGUGACAAGCCAGGGAGGUUUUGGAUCGGACCUAUCAGCUGUGCUUCGACACGAUGCAAAAAGGGCUGAAUUUUGUCAGCAUCUGAGACGGUUUCAGUGCCACUGAUUUCUUUCGCUUCCCACCCCUGCGAUUCCAAAGUAAGCGAGGGUGGGGCAGCUUAUGCGGUGUAGCAGUACGACUCUUGCAACACAUCUCAAGCUCUGCUCCGAGGGACAGACAUGCCUGUUAUGGUCCCACAGUGCUUUUCAGCCCGGGGAGCUCAAUGAGCUAGAGAAGAGAGCACCAGGUUUCAAGCCAGACACCUCUUGCUUGUUCGAUCUGCUGUUCUUGUGAUGACUUCCUCUGUGGCUUUCAACAAGCCACAACUUCUGCACCACCUCUCUUCCACUCAACCCUCCUGCCCCGGGCGUAACGUGCAAAUGCUAACUGACGGGCUCCAGAUUGAUAUGUACAGCACUUCCCAGCACAGAGACCGUGAACUGGUAAGUAUCUGCCAUGAGGUCAUCAUUGGAAGGCAUGUCUUUUGAAAGGAGACUAUUUCUUUUAAAGCCACCUGAAGCAGAUCAGCAAGUUUACUAGCCAACCUCUGCUAUCAGAAACCUGGCUGAGAGCAAAGGUUUUGAGGGGGCAGGAGAGACCAAGGGGAAGAUCCUCAGUUCCCACUUUGACCCAGUGCCCCCCGUUGGGAAGUCUGAACACUGACACUUUGAGGCACACAGCAGUGCUUGGUUAGGAAGAAGCUCCGCGGAAGAACUCUGAGAGGAAGAUGGUUUGUAGCCCAGGAAGGGGCAACUGUCAGAGUGAGGAUCAUUCUGAACAUUGGCAGGAGCCACGACACUGCUCUCUAUCAACUUCAUCAAAAACUGUUCCCUCCCCUGGAUUUCCCACUAGGACUCCCAAGGUCUCCUGGGGCAAAAAGAAGAGCCCAGCUUCCCCACACUGUGGCAAAAACACCGGGAAGUGCCCGCUGCUCCCCUGGCUUGGAUGACCAGCCCUUCACAGCAGCUCACCCACCCCUCCUCGGCUGGCGCAGCGAGAGCUCCCCCAAUUUUACUGAAUGGCAGAGAUCGUCACCUAUACAGUACCAAGCACACCUUUGGUUAGAUCUACGGUGCACGGCUCACAAAUGGAUUUAGAUCAAGAAUCACCAUCCACAUGCAGUUGCUCAACGUUGAGAGAGGCAGACCUGAAAGGGGCUGCAAAGCUCACGGUGGUUUAUGCUUUGGUUGGG